GAUCUUCAACAUCCUUCAGCUGGUAAUAGUGGGGAGCAAUUUCUACCAGCCACUCUGGCUUCAGCUCAGUUACCUGCCUCAUGUACUCCUUGGUUGUAAGAACCAACUCAUGGUAUAUGACCCAUCUUGGGAGCACCUGUGCCAACCCUGAGCUGGGGUGUAUGUGAACUGUCUGAGGAUGUUUCACUGUUCUGUACGAUCCGUUCUUCUGCAGCCUUGCAGAAUGAGGGAAAAAACCAGAUGUUAUGGAUUUCUUUAUGGCAUCUAAAUCAUUGAGAUUGGAUGAUAGGUCAAUUUCAACCCUUUCCAAAAGGCCCUCCAACUGGUCUCGUAUAUCUCUAGCUCGUUUCAUACUCCUGACCUUAAAGAGUAAGGAUUACAAGAGUAUAAAGGAUCAGAUAUAGAUAUGUGAAGCCUAUUCGAAAUCCAAGAUGAAAAAUAAUAGUGCUGUCCUAGUUUAAAAUAUUAAAAUAUGCACAUAGAUUCAUAAGAUUUACCUCCUUAACAUUUAAAAGACAGCCCUACUCCAUUAUGAGACCAUAAAUCAGCAAGAAAACCAUUGAACACAAUCAAGAUAAUCUUUAUACCCUUAGCAUCAACAACAGAGUUACAUUUUAAAACGCAAUCUAAAAGUAUCUAUGCAACUAAAUGCCUUUAAACAACAGUAGAUGAGUUCAAUGGUCAUCUUAAAUUUCAGACCUCACUUUCCAACCCCAAGAAGAUAUUUGAAGAUUGAAAAAAUAACAUCAGUUCAACAAUAUUUUUUUGUCAUUAAAUUUUUUUUUCUUUAAUUGAAUUCCUAAGUUCUUGAUUGAAAACCGACUUUCAUUCAUUCAGACUACAAUCUUCACAAGUUCAAAUUGAUGAAAUUUGUGAAUGAGAGAUAUGGGAAGGAGAUUCUGUGCAUGUGUGUGUGAUGCAGAACCGUCUGCUAUAUAUAAGACUCCAUAUUUAUAAUGGUAUAUGGCAUCCUCUCAAUAAACCAUAUUCACUCCUUUAUAUCAGCUGUAAUCAUGACAUUGAUUUUACUAAUCAGUUCAAUAUUCAUAAGAUUCUUCAAUAUGAGACAUAUCCCAUCAAUUAAGGAAAAAUCUCAUAAAUUCCAACACUUCCCUUUGGUGAGAUUUUUGUUGAAGUUAUUGAUCCAUAAUCAAGCUUGCUUUUAUCCGGCAACGAGCUUCUAGAGAUUAUAGGUGCCCUCGCCGACAACUUGUGGUCCUGUUUAGGUGGCCAAUGAGACUUGAAUGAUGUCCUGCAGCGGUGUUCUGAAUAUGUGUACUUCUAGAUCUGUUUCUGAAUAUAAUUUUCAUAACACCAUUGUGUAGAAUAAUUAGUUUCCUUCCAAGAAUUAUACACCUUGAGAAGAGAUAUAUGGUCUCCCACAUUUCCUGUGUGGAAAUUCAUUCUGGCAUUGUCCGCAUGAACUUGUUUGUCCUUUGGACGAUAGAAUAUUGAAUUUCCAACAGAAAGCAUAGCAGCAAUAGAGAUUAUCUCGUCUGAACACUUAUACUUAUCAGAAGCAACGAUCAUUUUGGAUAGCAUAGGAUCAAGUGGGAACUCAGCCAUCCUUCGACCAACUUUAGUCAGCUCACCAUGUUUAUUUAGUGCACUCAGUGCAAACAGGAGUUCCAGGGCUUUUAGUAAUGCCUCAGAAGGUGGAGGGUCCAUAAAAUCAAAAUUUAGUAAGUCAUGAAUUCCAAGACUCUUCAAAGAGAGCACAACAUUAGCAAGAUUUGUCCUUUGUAUUUCUGGUACAGUAUUAUCAUCCAAGUCAUGAUUGUAGUUAUAGGCCGUGUACAACCGGAAACACUUUCCUGGACCUGUUCGUCCAGAACGACCAGCACGCUGCAUGGCUGAAGCUUUUGAAAUAGGUGUUACAAGCAAUGACUCCAUCCCUGUCCUAGGGUUAUAUGAUUUCAUCUUGCAAAAGCCAGGAUCAAUGACAUACUUGAUCCCAUCAAUUGUUAAAGAUGUUUCAGCAAUAUUUGUUGCAAGGACGACCUUCCGGGCCCCUUCCGGAGUAGGUUCAAAUAUUUUGGCUUGAAGCUCGGUUGGCAAAUUUGCAUAUAUAGGGCAGAUAAUAAGCUCUGCAAUUUUUGUCCCUAAACCUCUGGUCCUAUGCUUCAAAAUUUCCUCUGCCGUCUCUAUUUCCUCCUG
rnacentral:misc_RNA from 1 species